UCCCUGCUGGUCCAGUGGUUAAGACUCUGCGCUUCCACUGCAGGAGGCACGGGUUCAAUCCCCGAGUGGGGAA
rnacentral:tRNA from 1 species